GACGAACGCUGGCGGCGUGCUUAACACAUGCCAGUCGAACGGAAAGGCCCUGCUUUUGUGGGGUGCUCGAGUGGCGAACGGGUGAGUAACACGUGAGUAACCUGCCCUUUACUUUGGGAUAACUUCAGGAAACUGGGGCUAAUACCGGAUAGGAGCUCCUGCUGCAUGGUGGGGGUUGGAAAGUUUCGGCGGUUGGGGAUGGACUCGCGGCUUAUCAGCUUGUUGGUGGGGUAGUGGCUUACCAAGGCUUUGAAGGGUAGCCGACCUGUGAGGGUGACAGGGAAAAAUGGGACAGAGAGAGGGGGCAGACUGCAACGGGAGGCAGCAGUGGAGAAUAGUGCACAAUGGGCGGAAGCGUGAUGCAGCAACGCGGGGAGCGGGAUGACGGCCUUCGGGUUGUAAACCGCUAUCGCGUGAGACGAAGCGUGAGUGACGGUAAUGGGUAAAGAAGCACCGGCUAACUACGUG
rnacentral:rRNA from 1 species